rnacentral:rRNA from 1 species
GACGAACGCUGGCGGCGUGCUUAACACAUGCAAGUCGAACGGAAAGGCCCUGCUUUUGUGGGGUGCUCGAGGGGCGAACGGGUGAGUAACACGUGAGUAACCUGCCCUUGACUUUGGGAUAACUUCAGGAAACUGGGGCUAAUACCGGAUAGGAGCUCCUGCUGCAUGGUGGGGGUUGGAAAGUUUCGGCGGGUGGGGAUGGACUCGCGGCUGAUCAGCUUGUUGGUGGGGUAGUGGCUGACCAAGGGGUUGACGGGUAGCCGGCCUGAGAGGGGGACGGGCCACUCUGGAAGUGAGACGCGGUCCAGGCACCGACGGGAGGCAGCGGUGGGUAAUGGUGGACACAGGGCGCAAGCCUGAACCAGCCAUAGAGCGUUGGUGAAGAAGGCCUGCGUGUUGUAAAGCCGUUUUGUUGGGAAAGAACAGCAUCAGGUUAAUACACCGCUGUUCUGAGGGUACCCGAAGAAUAAGCACCGGCUAACAUCUG